rnacentral:lncRNA from 1 species
AUUCAAACAGGCUACUGCUAUUAAGGAUUGCACAACUUCUGGGCAAGGCAGAGAGGAGACAGAGACGUCAUUGCUUCACCCAGGGCAAGAGGACAAAGGAGGAUGCAUGGAAAUACAAACAGCCCUUCUCCUCCAGGCCAUACCGACUGUCCAACUAGCAACAGACUUCACCUGGUUUUGGAGCAAUCUGAAUUUGGAAUAUGCCAGAGAAAACUUCUAUCAGGCAAGAUGGAAGACUCCUAGGAUAGGUCUCUCUCAUGGAGGGAUUGGCACGAUGGGAGCUGUUGUUGGGACAGGACAAGAGUCCACAUCCCCUGCCCAGUGCCUGGUUCUGGGUCAUGUCACCGAAGCGCAUCAGCCCAUCUGUCAGCCAAACCCCACUAGCCUUGUGCCUUCUCUUCUAAAUCCCCGCGGAGGAAAACAACUUCUGCCUUCUACAGUACGAACAGCGAGGGUCUGCUGGGAACCAAUACAACUUCGCGUCCCAGUGCAGCAAUGUUGCCAGGUAAGGACAGCCCCUGUCCUUCUGUAAGGAAGAGGAAGCGAAGGGAACUUCCCCCAGGCGCUGGUGGGAACAUCUUAGGAGGAAGGAACAUAGAAAUUGGCAAGGACUCGAAGGACGGAUAUGAAAGUGCCGUGAGCCCUGCUGAGCCCCAUGUGUGCCAAAAAUUAAUUCAUAAGCAAAUGCUUAUUUUAUAGUUUCCCACUUGCUACAAAACAUCAAGCCACAAGGAAAUAUUUCUUCUGGGGGCUGACAGGAAGCGGGUGGCACCAGAGUGGGGAGAAAGAAAGCCGGAAGUUCUCUUCAAGACAAGCGUGAUCCUAUCACCUGACAACGUGUCACCCGUUUCUGGAAAAUCCACGGGCUGUGGUACUGUCUCCUUGUUCCCAUAAGCGGAGGGUUCAAUGUGAAGCCUGCUCUGAUGGCAGCCAGGUAGGAGAAGUCUGGGAGUCACGAUCUACCCUCAGAUGUUAUCACCAUUGCAGGAGCCGGGGCAGGAAGAAAAGAUGCUGGGAGACCUGGGGACACCACCCCUGGGAGUCCAUUAUGCCAGACUGGGAAGUAACCUGUAUUUGGCUUCCAGGCAUUUCAGGGCUUUAGGUGAUGAUGUGAUGGAUGACAGGGUUUCAUAAUAAGGGAGCAAACCCUCCAUGAGAGUGCCUAGCAAGCACUGUAUGUCAUUAUUUGUGGAUUCCCAUAAAUUGAAUCCUCUAGGGUCUGGACAAUGAAAUCUAGAAUUUCUGGAGUGCUGUGAUUCCCAGUGAGCUUAUCCUAAGGCAGGACUGAAUUUUCUUACAACAUCCAAAAGGAGAAAGACAAGAGUCAACACUUUUGCAAAGAAGGGAUUUAGUAUCCAGGGAGAUCCAAACUCCUCAACUGCAGAGACAAUGGUGUCUCCCUUUCCUGCAGCUGUAGCAUCCAGCUUGGGGGCCUGGCUGACCCAUGGU